CAACACGACAUCAAACAGUGGACACACGGUUGAACAUGACGGGCUUCAGGGCAGCGCUGAUGCUUCUGACUGUCUGCUGGGCAGGCGUCCACAGUCAGACUCUGACAGAAUCUGAACCAGCGGUUAAAAGACCUGGAGAAUCCCACAAACUGACCUGUACGGCCUCUGGACUGUCAUUUAGUAGCUAUUAUAUGGCCUGGAUCAGACAGGCUCCUGGAAAAGGCCUGGAGUGGAUCACUGCUAUUUAUAGUAGCCACAUCUACUACUCUGACUCAGUUAAAGGCCGGUUCACCGUCUCCAGAGACGACGGCAGAAAGCAGCUGUUUCUGCAGAUGAACAGUCUGAAGACUGAAGAUUCUGCUGUUUAUUACUGUGCACGAGACACAGUGACUGAAGUUGGUGGAGGAACUGAACAAAAACCUCAAAUAGUACAACUUCUCUAUCAGACAUCUAUUAAAUGAAGAUCAUAA